AAAAAUGGCAAGGGGUACCCCUUACGAAAUUUUCGAGUGGAAAUUUUCUUUGAAUUUUUUUUCUGAUUUUUUAUUCUUUUUUUAACUUAAAGCAUUAGUUGAGUGAAAAGAAACUUAUUGCAACAAAUUCGCAAUAAAAUAUAUCACAUUUAAAAAUUUUGCUGAAUUGCAGAAAAAUGAGGAAAAUUUUACAUUUUCUCAAACAGGGUAAGGAACUUGGUUCCUCGUAUAACUUCUGGCACAGACAUCUGAGGACAUGGCCGUCCAAGAAGGAAAUGUAGCCAUUGGUGCCAUCUAUCGACCACAGGUUAAAGAUUCGCGAUCCGUUGCACACCGACCGAGUUAUAGCCAAAAAUUGGUGCAAAAAUGAGGAAAAUUUUACAUUUUCUCAAACAGGGUAAGGAACUUGGUUCCUCGCAUAACUUCUGGCACAGACAUCUGAGGGCAUGGCCGUCCAAGAAGAAAAUGUAGCCAUUGGUGCCAUCUAUCGACCACAGGUUAAAGAUUCGCGAUCCGUUGCAUACCGACCGAGUUAUAGCCAAAAUUUUGUGCAAAAAAGAGCCUGGGAGAUAGGCAAUUUUAUAGAUUUUUUUGUUAUUUUAUUACAAUUUUCCAAUCUUUUUCAAUUUAAAGCAUUAUUUGAGUGAAAAGAAACUUAUUUGAACCAAUUGGCAUUUAAAUAAAUCAAUUUAAAUUUUUUUGCAAAAUUUCUCAAAAAAAUGGCAAGGGGUACCCCUUAUGAAAUUUUCGAGUGGAAAAUUUUUUUGAAAUUUUUUUCUGAUUUUUUAUUCUUUUUUUAACUUAAAGCAUUAUUUGAGUGAAAAGAAACUUAUUGCAACAAAUUCGCAAUAAAAUAUAUCACAUUUAAAAAUUUUGCUGAAUUGCAGAAAAAUGAGGAAAAUUUUGCAUUUUCUCAAACAGAGUAAGGAACUUGGUUCCUCCAAUAACUUCUGACACAGACAUCUGAGAGCAUGGCCGUCCAAGAAGAAAAUGUAGCCAUUGGUGCCAUCUAUCGACCACAGGUUAAAGAUUCGCGAUCCGUUGCACACCGUCCGACUUAUAGCCAAAAUUUUGUGCAAAAAUGAGCCUGGGAGAUAGGCAAUUUUAUAGAUUUUUUUGUUAUUUUAUUACAAUUUUCCAAUCUUUUUCAAUUUAAAGCAUUAUUUGAGUGAAAAGAAACUUAUUUGAACCAAUUGGCAUUAAAAUAAAUCAAUUUAAUUUUUUUUUGCAAAAUUUCUCAAAAAAAUGGCAAGGGGUACCCCUUAUGAAAUUUUCGAGUGGAAAAUUUUUUUGAAAUUUUUUUCUGAUUUUUUAUUCUUUUUUUAACUUAAAGCAUUAUUUGAGUGAAAAGAAACUUAUUGCAACAAAUUCGCAAUAAAAUAUAUCACAUUUAAAAAUUUUGCUGAAUUGCAGAAAAAUGAGGAAAAUUUUACAUUUUCUCAAACAGGGUAAGGAGCUUGGUUCCUCGCAUAACUUCUGGCACAGACAUCUGAGGGCAUGGCCUUUCAAGAAGAAAAUGUAGCCAUUGGUGCCAUCUAUCGACCACAGGUUAAAGAUUCGCGAUCCGUUGCACACCGACCGAGUUAUAGCCAAAAAUUGGUGCAAAAAUGAGGAAAAUUUUGCAUUUUCUCAAACAGGGUAAGGAACUUGGUUCCUACAAUAACUUCUGACACAGACAUCUGAGAGAAUGGCCGUCCAAGAAGAAAAUGUAGCCAUUGGUGCCAUCUAUCGACCACAGGUUAAAGAUUCGCGAUCCGUUGCACACCGACCGAGUUAUAGCCAAAAAUUGGUGCAAAAAUGAGGAAAAUUUUACAUUUUCUCAAACAGGGUAAGGAACUUGGUUCCUCGCAUAACUUCUGGCACAGACAUCUGAGGGCAUGGCCGUCCAAGAAGAAAAUGUAGCCAUUGGUGCCAUCUAUCGACCACAGGUUAAAGAUUCGCGAUCCGUUGCACACCGACCGAGUUAUAGCUAAAAAUUGGUGCAAAAAUGAGGAAAAUUUUGCAUUUUCUCAAACAGGGUAAGGAACUUGGUUCCUACAAUAACUUCUGACACAGACAUCUGAGGGCAUGGCCGUCCAAGAAGAAAAUGUAGCCAUUGGUGCCAUCUAUCGACCACAGGUUAAAGAUUCACGAUCCGUUGCAUACCGACCGAGUUAUAGCCAAAAUUUUGUGCAAAAAUGAGCCUGGGAGAUAGGCAAUUUUAUAGAUUUUUUUGUUAUUUUAUUACAAUUUUCCAAUCUUUUUCAAUUUAAAGCAUUAUUUGAGUGAAAAGAAACUUAUUUGAACCAAUUGGCAUUUAAAUAAAUCAAUUUAAAUUUUUUUGCAAAAUUUCUCAAAAAAAUGGCAAGGGGUACCCCUUAUGAAAUUUUCGAGUGGAAAAUUUUUUUGAAAUUUUUUUCUGAUUUUUUAUUCUUUUUUUAACUUAAAGCAUUAUUUGAGUGAAAAGAAACUUAUUGCAACAAAUUCGCAAUAAAAUAUAUCACAUUUAAAAAUUUUGCUGAAUUGCAGAAAAAUGAGGAAAAUUUUACAUUUUCUCAAACAGGGUAAGGAGCUUGGUUCCUCGCAUAACUUCUGGCACAGACAUCUGAGGGCAUGGCCGUCCAAGAAGAAAAUGUAGCCAUUGGUGCCAUCUAUCGACCACAGGUUAAAGAUUCACGAUCCGUUGCACACCGACCGAGUUAUAGCCAAAAAUUGGUGCAAAAAUGAGGAAAAUUUUACAUUUUCUCAAACAGGGUAAGGAACUUGGUUCCUCGCAUAACUUCUGGCACAGACAUCUGAGGGCAUGGCCGUCCAAGAAGAAAAUGUAGCCAUUGGUGCCAUCUAUCGACCACAGGUUAAAGAUUGGCGAUUCGUUGGAUACCGACCGAGUUAUAGGCAAAACUUGGUGCAAAAAUGAGCCUGGGAGAUAGGCAAUUUUAUAGAUUUUUUUGUUAUUUUAUUACAAUUUUCCAAUCUUUUUCAAUUUAAAGCAUUAUUUGAGUGAAAAGAAACUUAUUUGAACCAAUUGGCAUUUAAAUAAAUCAAUUUAAAUUUUUUUGCAAAAUUUCUCAAAAAAAUGGCAAGGGGUACCCCUUAUGAAAUUUUCGAGUGGAAAAUUUUUUUGAAAUUUUUUUCUGAUUUUUUAUUCUUUUUUUAACUUAAAGCAUUAUUUGAGUGAAAAGAAACUUAUUGCAACAAAUUCGCAAUAAAAUAUAUCACAUUUAAAAAUUUUGCUGAAUUGCAGAAAAAUGAGGAAAAUUUUACAUUUUCUCAAACAGGGUAAGGAGCUUGGUUCCUCGCAUAACUUCUGGCACAGACAUCUGAGGGCAUGGCCGUCCAAGAAGAAAAUGUAGCCAUUGGUGCCAUCUAUCGACCACAGGUUAAAGAUUCGCGAUCCGUUGCACACCAACCGAGUUAUAGCCAAAAAUUGGUGCAAAAAUGAGGAAAAUUUUACAUUUUCUCAAACAGGGUAUGGAACUUGGUUCCUCGUAUAACUUCUGGAACAGACAUCUGAGGGCAUGGCCGUCCAAGAAGAAAAUGUAGCUAUUG